UAGACCGAUUCGUACCGGUUUUGUGAACGGCUUGAAGUGAUUCGUUGAAAUGAUUCACCUCAAAAGGACAGUUCUUUCACAUCGCGGGAAUUUCUGCAUGUUGGGUGUUCUGAAUUUUGGAAACUCCCACUUGACCGAAGGAUUAGUGUGAUGGCAUGACAUGGAAAGCGAAGCGGCACACAGCCACUGGCACAGCUGUAAUACAUUCCCUCACAAGCAAGCCCAUCAUCCCUCCUGGACAGUUCUGGAUAUCCGCAGCGAAACAUGUCUGAACUCGGCUUUCUGAAGAUCUGUUUAAUCGGAACCGCGUUUUCCUUUCUGGUGGCUCUGUUUGGGCUGGUUGAUUCUGUGGGAGGUCUGAUGUAUUCUCAAGAACUAGACUGGGCAGACGACAGCUGGACGGAGAAGCUUCCCACCGUGUCUCCAUCACAGACUACUACUACUGCUGCCAACAACACCAAGCGCAACGGAUCGAGGUGAUCUUCUCUGCCAUCGGUGGCGAGUCUUUAAUUGCACUAGGAGAAAUAAUCGGUGUAUUAAUGUUACUGACCUACUAAAGCCUGCUGUGGAAUGAUUUCCUCCUCUACACUACUGUGAGUCAGACAUGAAGAACAUCAAUAAUGGCUGGUCAUUCUACAGCCAUACCAGACGUCAACUCUUCACACUCAUUACAUUUGUUUUGCUUUGUUGUUCUGGUUUCUCCAAAGAACUUGUCUGACUUUAUAUGAAGAAGACCCUGCAAGAGUAGAAAACUCAAUCUUCGGGAGAG